rnacentral:lncRNA from 1 species
GGCCGAACAAUGGAUAUUCGACUUGUCAUCGUUAUCCUAUCCGAAUAUGUCAGACGCCACUCAACUAUCAGACUCUACGAAAUGAUCGUGUCGACGUGCUACGUCCGACCAAAGGUCGGAUAAUGGAUAUUCGACUUGUCAUUGUUAUCCUAUCCGAAUACGUCGGACGCCACUCAACUAUCAGACUCUACGGAAUGAUCGUGCCGACGUGCACGCCCGACCAAGGACCGAACAACGGAUUAUCGACUUGUCAUCGUUAUCCUAUCCGAAUAUGUUGGACACUACUCGACUAUCAGAUUCUAUGA